AACGAACGCUGGCGGCAUGCCUAACACAUGCAAGUCGAACGAGACCUUCGGGUCUAGUUGCGCACGGGUGCGUAACGCGUGGGAACCUGCCCUUAGGUUCGGAAUAACUCCCCGAAAGGGGUGCUAAUACCGGAUAAUGUCUUCGGACCAAAGAUUUAUCGUCUUUGGAUGGGCCCGCGUUGGAUUAGCUUGUUGGUAUGGUAAAAGCCUAUCAAGGCGACGAUCCAUAGCUGGUCUGAGAGGAUGACCAGCCACACUGGGAGUGAGACACGGCCCAGACUCCUACGGGAGGCAGCAGUGGGGAAUAUUGGACGAUGGGCGAAAGACUGAUCCAGCAAUGCCGCGUGAGUGAUGAAGGAGUUAGGGUUGUAAAGCUCUUUUAACCGGGAUGAUAAUGACAGUACCGGGAGAAUAAGCUCCGGCUAACUACGUG
rnacentral:rRNA from 1 species